CACGUAGGGUGCGAGCGUUGUCCGGAAUUAUUGGGCGUAAAGAGCUCGUAGGCGGUGUGUCGCGUCGGCCGUGAAAACUUGCAGCUUAACUGUGGGCGUGCGGUCGAUACGGGCAUCACUGGAGUUCGGCAGGGGAGACUGGAAUUCCUGGUGUAGCGGUGAAAUGCGCAGAUAUCAGGAGGAACACCGGUGGCGAAGGCGGGUCUCUGGGACGGUACUGACGCUGGAGACGGCGAAAGCGUGGGGAGCGAACAGG
rnacentral:rRNA from 1 species